AUUGAACGCUGGCGGCAGGCCUAACACAUGCAAGUCGAGCGGAGCGGCGGACGGGUGAGUAAUGCCUAGGAAUCUGCCUGGUAGUGGGGGAUAACGUCCGGAAACGGGCGCUAAUACCGCAUACUAUCAGAUGAGCCUAGGUCGGAUUAGCUAGUUGGUGGGGUAAAGGCCAACCAAGGCGACGAUCCCUAGCUGGUCUGAGAGGAUGACCAGCCACACUGGAACUGAGACACGGUCCAGACUCCUACGGGAGGCAGCAGUGGGGAAUAUUGGACAAUGGGCGAAAGCCUGAUGCAGCCAUGCCGCGUGUAUGAAGAAGGUCUUCGGGUUGUAAAGCACUUUAAGCGGGGAGGCGUUACCCACAGAAGAAGCACCGGCUAACUCCGUGCCAGCAGCCGCGGUAAUUC
rnacentral:rRNA from 1 species